rnacentral:rRNA from 1 species
GAGUUUGAUCAUGGCUCAGGAUGAACGCUAGCGACAGGCUUAACACAUGCAAGUCGAGGGGCAGCGGGGGAGCAGCAAUGCUCCUGCCGGCGACCGGCGCACGGGUGAGUAACACGUAUGGAACCUGCCCGCAGCAGGGGGAUAAGCGGAAGAAAUUCCGUCUAAUACCGCGUAACACCGCGGAGGGGCAUCCCUCGGCGGUUAAAGAUUCAUCGGCUGCGGAUGGCCAUGCGGCGCAUUAGCUAGUCGGCGGGGUAACGGCCCACCGAGGCGACGAUGCGUAGGGGUUCUGAGAGGAAGGUCCCCCGCACUGGUACUGAGACACGGACCAGACUCCUACGGGAGGCAGCAGUGAGGAAUAUUGGUCAAUGGCCGGGAGGCUGAACCAGCCAAGUCGCGUGAGGGAAGACGGCCCUACGGGUUGUAAACCUCUUUUGUCAGGGAGCAAGAGGCGGGUCGGGACCUGCUGUGAGAGUACCUGAAGAAAAAGCAUCGGCUAACUCCGUGCCAGCAGCCGCGGUAAUACGGAGGAUGCGAGCGUUAUCCGGAUUUAUUGGGUUUAAAGGGUGCGCAGGCGGAGGCACAAGUCAGCGGUAAAAUCGCGGGGCUCAACCCCGCUCCGCCGUUGAAACUGUGUCCCUUGAGUGCGCGAAGGGUAGGCGGAAUGCGUGGUGUAGCGGUGAAAUGCAUAGAUAUCACGCAGAACUCCGAUCGCGAAGGCAGCCUACCGGCGCGCGACUGACGCUCAUGCACGAAAGCGUGGGUAUCGAACAGGAUUAGAUACCCUGGUAGUCCACGCAGUAAACGAUGAAUGCUAUCUGUCCGGCCGGAAUGACGGCUGGGUGGCACAGCGAAAGCGUUAAGCAUUCCACCUGGGGAGUACGCCGGCAACGGUGAAACUCAAAGGAAUUGACGG